CAGUCGCCGCGGGAAUACGGAGGGUGCAAGCGUUAAUCGGAAUUACUGGGCGUAAAGCGCACGCAGGCGGUCUGACAAGUCAGAUGUGAAAUCCCCGGGCUUAACCUGGGAACUGCAUUUGAAACUGUCAGGCUGGAGUCUUGUAGAGGGGGGUGGAAUUCCAGGUGUAGCGGUGAAAUGUGUAGAGAUCUGGAGGAAUACCGGUGGCGAAGGCGGCCCCCUGGACAAAGACUGACGCUCAGGUGCGAAAGCGUGGGGAGCAAACAGGAUUAGAUACCCGGUAGUCCCUGUCUCUUAUACA
rnacentral:rRNA from 1 species